rnacentral:lncRNA from 1 species
CCCCAUCUAUAUAAACAUGCAGACUGAUCCCUAAAUUUGUAACAGAAGUAGCACUAUUUCAGGAGUGUUACACCAAAACAUAAAUUUACACACUAACAACUGAUAAACAAUACUGAAGAAAUGUUUGUUCUUUCUAUACUUAGAGAACGGAGCCUGCAAAUACCAUCCUUUAUUCAGAAAUACUAGAGUGGUAGAGAUCUAAUCUAAAUCCCAUUUCCAGGUGGAGGAUCAGGUUAAAUCUUGUCUCAGUAAAAGAGACAAUGAAUAUGGGCAGUUUGCAACAAUCUCAACUAGACACAGAAAUGGAAAAACAAAAGAUCAAGAUCUUUCCAAUUGACUCUAUCAUUUGGCUGAUUAUUUGGGGAUAUCUUUAAGGUCCUUUCCUAGGAGACUUCCUAUACAAAUAAAAACUUCAAUUUAAAACACUAAAUGAAAACACACUGAAGAUAUAUCUGGUUUGCUUAGAAAGCAUUUCUAAUGAUAAAGGUCAAAAGCGA